rnacentral:piRNA from 1 species
UGAAUGAUAUUAGGCAUGCUUUCGGAC